GAGGGUAUAGCUUAGUGGUAGAGUGUGUGCUUUAGCAUGCAUGAAUGAGGUUCCUGGGUUCAAUCCCCAAUACCUCCA
rnacentral:tRNA from 1 species